rnacentral:rRNA from 1 species
UACGUAGGGUGCAAGCGUUGUCCGGAAUUAUUGGGCGUAAAGAGCUCGUAGGCGGUCAGUCGCGUCUGCUGUGAAAACUCGGGGCUUAACUCCGGGCCUGCAGUGGGUACGGGCUGACUAGAGUGCGGUAGGGGAGACUGGAAUUCCUGGUGUAGCGGUGAAAUGCGCAGAUAUCAGGAGGAACACCGGUGGCGAAGGCGGGUCUCUGGGCCGUAACUGACGCUGAGGAGCGAAAGCGUGGGGGAGCGAACAGG